rnacentral:rRNA from 1 species
AUUGAACGCUGGCGGCAGGCCUAACACAUGCAAGUCGAGCGGAUGAAGGGAGCUUGCUCCUGGAUUCAGCGGCGGACGGGUGAGUAAUGCCUAGGAAUCUGCCUGGUAGUGGGGGAUAACGUCCGGAAACGGGCGCUAAUACCGCAUACGUCCUGAGGGAGAAAGUGGGGGAGCUUCGGACCUCACGCUCUCAGAUGAGCCUAGGUCGGAUUAGCUAGUUGGUGGGGUAAAGGCCUACCAAGGCGGCGAUCCGUAACUGGUCUGAGAGGAUGAUCAGUCACACUGGAACUGAGACACGGUCCAGACUCCUACGGGAGGCAGCAGUGGGGAAUAUUGGACAAUGGGCGAAAGCCUGAUCCAGCCAUGCCGCGUGUGUGAAGAAGGUCUUCGGAUUGUAAAGCACUUUAAGUUGGGAGGAAGGGCAGUAAGUUAAUACCUUGCUGUUUUGACGUUACCAACAGAAUAAGCACCGGCUAACUUCGUG